rnacentral:snRNA from 1 species
AGCUUCGCGCAUGGCGAUAACGUUACCAAUGAGGCUCUGCCGAAAUGUGUUUAAUACUGGUUGAAACUUUUCCCAAUUGCCUGCAAUGGUCCCUGAAAGAUGGGUUCCAUACGCAAUUUUCGAAGGCCCUAAGGAGC